UAACAGAACUUCAGAAUGUUAGAGCCAUCUGGAAUAAAGACCGUAUUUCUCAGCCUCCCUUGCAGUGGUCCUUAAAGUAUGGUUCCAGAACUAGCAGCGACAAGAUUACCUGGUGUGAAUUGAAUUAUGUUCCCCCAAAAUAUAUGCUGGAGUCCUAACCUCAGAUCAAGUAGUUGAAGUUUUGUUAGCUAUGGAGUCUAUAUAUUUGAGACUCAGGAGAGGAGUUGCAAAAUGGGACAAAAAGGA